AUUGAACGCUGGCGGCAGGCCUAACACAUGCAAGUCGAGCGAGUGGCGGACGGGUGAGUAAUGUCUGGGGAUCUGCCUGCUGGAGGGGGAUAACUACUGGAAACGGUAGCUAAUACCGCAUACCAUCAGAUGUUCCCAGAUGGGAUUAGCUUGUAGGUGGGGUAACGGCUCACCAAGGCGACGAUCCCUAGCUGGUCUGAGAGGAUGACCAGCCACACUGGGACUGAGACACGGUCCAGACUCCUACGGGAGGCAGCAGUGGGGAAUAUUGCACAAUGGGCGCAAGCCGGAUGCAGCCAUGCCGCGUGUAUGAAGAAGGCCUUCGGGUUGUAAAGUACUUUCAGCGGGGAGGCGUUACCGGCAGAAGAAGCACCGGCUAACUCCGUGCCAGCAGCCGCGGUAAUAC
rnacentral:rRNA from 1 species